rnacentral:rRNA from 1 species
GACGGGGGGUCCUAGCGUUGUUCGGAAUCAUUGGGCGUAAAGCGUGUGCAGGUGGUUCUGUAAGUUAGAUGUGAAAGCCUUGGGCUUAACCCAAGAAGUGCAUUUAAAACUACAAAACUUGAGUAUGGAAGAGGGUCGUGGAAUUCCAGGUGUAGUGGUGAAAUACGUAGAUAUUAGGAGGAACACCAGUUGCGAAGGCGGACU